UACGUAGGGAGCAAGCGUUGUCCGGAAUCAUUGGGCGUAAAGCGCGCGUAGGUGGUCAUGUAAGUCCGCUGUGAAAGUCAAAGGCUCAACCUUUGAAAGCCGGUGGAUACUGCAUGACUAGAGUACGGAAGAGGCGAGUGGAAUUCCUGGUGUAGCGGUGGAAUGCGCAGAUAUCAGGAGGAACACCAAUAGCGAAGGCAGCUCGCUGGGACGUUACUGACACUGAGGCGCGAAAGCGUGGGGAG
rnacentral:rRNA from 1 species